rnacentral:rRNA from 1 species
UUGAACGCUGGCGGCAGGCCUCACACCCGCCAGUCGAGCGGAUGAAGGGAGCUUGCUCCUGGAUUCAGCGGCGGACGGGUGAGUAAUGCCUAGGAAUCUGCCUGGUAGUGGGGGAUAACGUCCGGAAACGGGCGCUAAUACCGCAUACGUCCUGAGGGAGAAAGUGGGGGAUCUUCGGACCUCACGCUAUCAGAUGAGCCUAGGUCGGAUUAGCUAGUUGGUGGGGUAAAGGCCUACCAAGGCGACGAUCCGUAACUGGUCUGAGAGGAUGAUCAGUCACACUGGAACUGAGACACGGUCCAGACUCCUACGGGAGGCAGCAGUGGGGAAUAUUGGACAAUGGGCGAAAGCCUGAUCCAGCCAUGCCGCGUGUGUGAAGAAAGUCUUCGGAUUGUAAAGCACUUUAAGUUGGGAGGAAGGGCAGUAAGUUAAUACCUUGCUGUUUUGACGUUACCAACAGAAUAAGCACCGGCUAACUUCGUG